GGGCACCGUCCUGGCACUUGUUAGAAUGACAGUGAACUAGAUGAACAGUAUGCUUUUAAACAGCACAUGUGGACAACGUCGACGUCAGUUCAUAGCUUAGAUGAGGACGGGAUGUCUUUUUCAAACAGGGGCGACUUCGUAAUUUAUGUCACUUGAUUGUCACAAUACCCGGUAAGGCCUGGUAUUCUGUGACGGCAGUUUUUCUGACAGGCCAACAUGGCGACUUCAAGACCACAAAUAAACAAGAUUCCUGAGAGAGAACUGAAGGUUCCAGCGGCGACUGUCAUAGCGGGCCUGAUCCACUUGUAUAUUUGGAAAAUUGAAAAUCUCUGCCUGUGUACUGAACUGCCAAGUUGAUAAGGACCUCUGUCAAGCUUACGAGCUUUUAGUCCUGUCUCCUCCUCUGUCCAAGAGAAAAAUAAAGACUGAAUUGAAUAUACAUAUACCUAUA